AAAACAAACCCCUGGGGCUGGAUAACAUGUGGGAGGAACCUUUGACAGACUGUUUCCUGUUCCUGUGACCCCGAUGAAGGCCACAAGCCCAGAUGCAUUGACCGACAGCCUCCAUCAUGGACAAAGAGGUUUCAGCAACAACAACCAUUCACCCAAAGAGGAAAUGCUCUCAGUCAAGAGGAAUAAUGGGACAAAACACGAAGGAGAUAUGGGGUGCGCAGGGCUGACGGCACGGCUUCACUGCGUCUUUCACGUCCAUGUGCAACAGUUGUAAAAUCCAUGGUGGAGGAUAAAAUACCUGUACUGUGUGUAGCUUUAGAGCCUUGUGUUUAAUCACACAUCCUUCAAAACCACGGUGCUCUACAAUGGUCCAGUCAAGGUCAAGUCACUUCAGCAAUGUUUUAAUCAAAGGAAAAAUGCACUCAAUUUAAGGAACAAUGUUUUUUUUUUUUUUUUUUUUUUAAGUGUUGUGCAGUUUAUGAUAGUGGGCUGUAAUGUAGCGUCAUUCUGCGUCUGUCUGCUGGGACCUUCUGUCCAAUGAUGCUGUAAUUGAAAACACACAAAGGGAAGACAUUUUGAAAGAGCAAUAAAUGAGUUUUUUCUUGACCAUAAUACAAAAUGACCAUGAUAUGUUUCUGGGACUUGAUCGGUUGUUGGUCUGGGAAAAAGAAAUGGAAAAGCUCAAUUGAUUACGUGCCCAGGUGGUGAAAACAGUGUGCUUGUUCUUGGACCAACAGUUGAUAAAGUGGUAGUAUUAUGAUUGUUGUUGUCUAUUAAAUUUUCAUGUGGCAGACGGAGCUCAUCACACUGCAGUGCAGGAAAACAGGCAAAUGAAUGAAGGUCCUUGUCACUGUGAACACUCCUGGGCAGCACAAUAAAAAGCUGCAAGUAAAACAAAAGCAAAACAGGAUAAAGUGACAUAAAAAGUGUUGCAAAUGCAGACAAGAGAAAUGUCUGAGGAAAACUGAUGAACAUAUUGACCACACUUCAGAAGUUUGAGUGUCCUUUAAAGCUGAUCUAACCAGUAGGUUUUAUAUUAAGUAGAUUAAACAGCUGUGUGA